rnacentral:lncRNA from 1 species
GUUAAGGAUCACACCCCAUUUCUUUCUUCCCCAACCCCUCACCCAAAACCAAAACUUCCACCCGGCCGUCGAAGUCAUCUCCGGCACCACCACCACCAUCGAUUUUUGGUUCAUCUACAAAUAUGUAUACAGGUAUGGCGACUGUGUUUGUUUCUUAUGUUUUUCAGUUUUAAGGCCAAUCGUUCUCAAAGUGAUGGUGAUCAAGCUGUGUCCGUGAAUUCCAAGGAUUUUGAUACAGAAGAAGGGAAUUUAGAUGGGGCUGUUUCUUUGGAAAGUGCCAUCGUUGCAAACGCUAGUAAGUAUCAAUUCAUUUCUGGCAAAAAUGUCAGUGAAUUCAUGGAAGAAACGAAAACUAUAAAAUUUGAAAUGUUUGUGGGCUCAAAUGAGGGUUUUGUUAGUAGUAAUCAUCAACAAAUUCUUGAUAGUGAAUUUUUGCAAAACCGAAAAUUUUUAGAGGUGCAGUCACAAGAAUUUUUAGAGGUGCAAUCACAAGAAAAUUUUCAACAACUUGAUGAGGAAAAAAGCAAGACAAGAAUUGGAGAUUAUUAUAGAGGAAAAAAAUGUUGUGGAUUGUGAGAUUUUCUGGGUUUUUUCUGCAGCAAUGGUGAUGGUUGUACUUUCCCCUUCUCUUCAAUCCUUCCCUCCAACACAAUUCGAUGGUUGGUGGUGGUGCUUGAUUUGGAGGUGGCGUUGAGCUGACGUUGAGGUAGGGGUGCCGGAGAUGGCUUCGACGGCUGGGUGGAAGUUGUUUUGGUCUUGGGUGAGGGGAUUGGGGAAGACGGAGAUGGGGUGGGUGUUUGUAUUUUUGUUUUUGACUUUUCUAAUUUUUAAUUUAAUAAGGGAAAUGAAUUAUUUUCAGAAUGUCCUUAUCUUAUUUUGGUGAAAUAAUUAAUUUUUUAAUUUUUG